rnacentral:rRNA from 1 species
UACGGGGGGGGCAAGCGUUGUUCGGAAUUACUGGGCGUAAAGGGCUCGUAGGUGGCCAACUAAGUCAGACGUGAAAUCCCUCGGCUUAACCGGGGAACUGCGUCUGAUACUGGAUGGCUUGAGUUCGGGAGAGGGAUGCGGAAUUCCAGGUGUAGCGGUGAAAUGCGUAGAUAUCUGGAGGAACACCGGUGGCGAAGGCGGCAUCCUGGACCGACGCUGACACUGAGGAGCGAAAGCCAGGGGAGCAAACGGG